rnacentral:rRNA from 1 species
AACAAAGAAUAAAAGGUCGAGCCUGCCCGGUGACUAUAUGUUUAACGGCCGCGGUAUUUUAACCGUGCAAAGGUAGCGCAAUCACUUGUCUUUUAAAUGAAGACCUGUAUGAAUGGUAUUACGAGGGCUUAACUGUCUCCUUUUUCAAGUCAGUGAAAUUGAUCUCCCCGUGCAGAAGCGGGGAUAAAACCAUAAGACGAGAAGACCCUAUGGAGCUUUAAGACACUAAGGCAAAUCAAGUUAAACACCCCUAAACAAAGGACUAAACCUAUUGAACUCUUGCCCGUAUGUCUUCGGUUGGGGCGACCAUGGGGAAACAAAAAACCCCCACGUGGAACGGGAGCACAACUACUCCUACAGCUGAGAGCUGCCGCUCUAAUAAGCAGAACUUCUGACCAAUAACUGAUCCGGCAACGCCGAUCAACGGACCAAGUUACCCUAGGGAUAACAGCGCAAUCCCCUUUUAGAGCCCCUAUCGACAAGGGGGUUUACGACCUCGAUGUUGGAUCAGGACAUCCCAAUGGUGCAGCCGCUAUUGAAGGUUCGUUUGUUCAACGAUUAAAGUCCUACGUGAUCUGAGUUCAGACCGG